rnacentral:rRNA from 1 species
GACAGAGGGUGCAAACGUUGUUCGGAAUUACUGGGCGUAAAGCGCGUGUAGGCGGCUCUGCAAGUCGGAUAUGAAAUCCCACGGCUCAACCAUGGAAGUGCAUUCGAAACUGCAGGGCUAGAGUCCUGGAGAGGAAGGUGGAAUGCUUGGUGUAGAGGUGAAAUUCGUAGAUAUCAAGCGGAACACCGGUGGCGAAGGCGGCCUUCUGGACAGUGACUGACGCUGCGACGCGAAAGCGUGGGGAGCAAACAGG